rfam:Triticum aestivum genome assembly, contig: Triticum_aestivum_CS42_TGACv1_scaffold_220952_3B
AUACUACUCCCUCCGUUCGGAAUUACUUGUCACAAAAAUGGAUGCAUCUAUAACUAAAAUACAUCUAGAUAUAUCCAUUUCUUCAACGAGUAAUUCCGAACGGAGGGAGCAUAUG